AAGAUCAUACUUCACAGGAUCAUUUCUGUAGUAGAUCUUCGCAUACUCUCUACUCAAAUGUAGAGUUAUCGCAACCAUGAUGACGAGACAUAGUUUCGGACUCUGAGCGUGAGGCAGGCAUUUUGCAAUAUAUUUUAUAUUUGCUUCAUUGUUAAACGAUGAUCGUUCACUUGAGUGUUGAGCAUUCAAGCUAUGGGUCCGAAACAGUCUGAGUGGC